GACGAACGCUGGCGGCGUGCUUAACACAUGCAAGUCGAACGGAAAGGCCCUGCUUUUGUGGGGUGCUCGAGUGGCGAACGGGUGAGUAACACGUGAGUAACCUGCCCUUGACUUUGGGAUAACUUCAGGAAACUGGGGCUAAUACCGGAUAGGAGCUCCUGCUGCAUGGUGGGGGUUGGAAAGUUUCGGCGGUUGGGGAUGGACUCGCGGCUUAUCAGCUUGUUGGUGGGGUAGUGGCUUACCAAGGCUUUGACGGGUAGCCGGCCUGAGAGGGUGACCGGCCACAUUGGGACUGAGAUGCGACCCAGACUCCUACGGGAGGCAGCGGUGGGGAAUAUAGCACAAUGGGCGGAAGCCUGAUGCAGCAACGCCGCGUGCGGGAUGACGGCCUUCGGGUUGUAAACCGCUUUCGCCUGUGACGAAGAGUGAGUGACGGUAAUGGGUAAAGAAGCACCGGCUAACUACGUG
rnacentral:rRNA from 1 species